AGGGACAGCAGCCGCCGCGGUAAUACAGAGGGUGCGAGCGUUAAUCGGAUUUACUGGGCGUAAAGCGUGCGUAGGCGGCUUCUUAAGUCGGAUGUGAAAUCCCUGAGCUUAACUUAGGAAUUGCAUUCGAUACUGGGAAGCUAGAGUAUGGGAGAGGAUGGUAGAAUUCCAGGUGUAGCGGUGAAAUGCGUAGAGAUCUGGAGGAAUACCGAUGGCGAAGGCAGCCAUCUGGCCUAAUACUGACGCUGAGGUACGAAAGCAUGGGGAGCAAACAGGAUUAGAUACCCGCGUAGUCCCUGUCUCUUAUAC
rnacentral:rRNA from 1 species